rnacentral:rRNA from 1 species
UACGUAGGGGGCAAGCGUUGUCCGGAUUUAUUGGGCGUAAAGAGCUCGUAGGUGGUUCGGUAAGUCGGAUGUGAAAUCUCCAGGCUCAACCUGGAGGGGUCAUUCGAUACUGCCGUGACUAGAGUUCGGUAGGGGAGUGUGGAAUUCCUGGUGGAGCGGUGAAAUGCGCAGAUAUCGGGAGGAACACCGGUGGCGAAGGCGGUUCUCUGGGCCUUACCUGACGCUGAGGAGCGAAAGCGUGGGGAGCGAACAGG